CAGUGGGGGAAAUAAGUAUUUGACCCCUUGCUGAUUUUGCAGGUUUGCCCACUUACAAAGAAUGCAAAGAUCUAUAAUUGUAAUCAUAUGUAUAUUCUAACAGUGAAAGACAGAAUCCCAAAGAAAAUUCCUGAAAAUCACAUCAUAUGAAUUUAUUAAAAUUGAUAACCAUCUGAUGAGGAAAAACAAGUAUUUGACCCCCUGGACAAACAGCAUGUUAAUAAUUUGUAGAAAAGCCAUUAUUUGCCAGCACAGAUGUCAAACAAUUUUUAUAGUUGGUGACAAGGUUUGUGCACAUUUCUGCAGGGAUGUUGGCCCACUCCUCCCUGCAGACAGCCUCCAAAUCAUUCAGGUUCCGAGGUUGUCGCCUGGCAACUCGAAUUUUAAGCUCCCUCCAAAGACUUUCAAUUUGAUUCAGGUCUGGAGACUGGCUAGGCCACUUCAGAACCUUGAUGUGCUUCUUCUUCAGCCACUCUUUUGUUGCUUUGGCGGUGUGCUUAGGGUUGUUGUCGUGCUGAAACACCCAUCCUCGACCCAUCUUCAGCUCUCUCACUGAGGGAAGGAGAUGUUGGUCCAGAAUUCCACGAUACAUGGCCCCGUCCAUCCUCCCCUCAAUACGAUGGAGUUGUCCCGUCCCCUUGGCUGA